rnacentral:rRNA from 1 species
UCCUGGAUUCAGCGGCGGACGGGUGAGUAAUGCCUAGGAAUCUGCCUGGUAGUGGGGGAUAACGUCCGGAAACGGGCGCUAACACCGCAUACGUCCUGAGGGAGAAAGUGGGGGAUCUUCGGACCUCACGCUAUCAGAUGAGCCUAGGUCGGAUUAGCUAGUUGGUGGGGUAAAGGCCUACCAAGGUGACGAUCCGUAACUGGUCUGAGAGGAUGAUCAGUCACACUGGAACUGAGACACGGUCCAGACUCCUACGGGAGGCAGCAGUGGGGAAUAUUGGACAAUGGGCGAAAGCCUGAUCCAGCCAUGCCGCGUGUGUGAAGAAGGUCUUCGGAUUGUAAAGCACUUUAAGUUGGGAGGAAGGGCAGUAAGUUAAUACCUUGCUGUUUUGACGUUACCAACAGAAUAAGCACCGGCUAACUUCGUGCCAGCAGCCGCGGUAAUACGAAGGGUGCAAGCGUUAAUCGGAAUUACUGGGCGUAAAGCGCGCGUAGGUGGUUCAGCAAGUUGGAUGUGAAAUCCCCGGGCUCAACCUGGGAACUGCAUCCAAAACUACUGAGCUAGAGUACGGUAGAGGGUGGUGGAAUUUCCUGUGUAGCGGUGAAAUGCGUAGAUAUAGGAAGGAACACCAGUGGCGAAGGCGACCACCUGGACUGAUACUGACACUGAGGUGCGAAAGCGUGGGGAGCA